AACGAACGCUGGCGGCAUGCCUAACACAUGCAAGUCAAACGAGACCUUCGGGUCUAGUGGCGCACGGGUGCGUAACGCGUGGGAACCUGCCCUUAGGUUCGGAAUAACUCCCCGAAAGGGGUGCUAAUACCGGAUAAUGUCUUCGGACCAAAGAUUUAUCGCCUUUGGAUGGGCCCGCGUUGGAUUAGCUAGUUGGUAGGGUAAAAGCCUACCAAGGCGACGAUCCAUAGCUGGUCUGAGAGGAUGAUCAGCCACACUGGGACUGAGACACGGCCCAGACUCCUACGGGAGGCAGCAGUGGGGAAUAUUGGACAAUGGGCGAAAGCCUGAUCCAGCAAUGCCGCGUGAGUGAUGAAGGCCUUAGGGUUGUAAAGCUCUUUUACCCGGGAUGAUAAUGACAGUACCGGGAGAAUAAGCGCCGGCUAACUCCGUG
rnacentral:rRNA from 1 species